rfam:Brachypodium distachyon strain Bd21 chromosome 1, whole genome shotgun sequence.
AAUCUACUUCAUUCGUCCAACAAAAGAUAUCUCAAGUUUGUAAAAAUUUGGAUGUAUCUAGCAUGACUUAACGUAUAGAUGUAUCCAAAUUUAGUCAAAGUUGAGACAUCCUUUAUUGAACGAAUGAAAUAUAUU